CUGCAUGCGAGUCAUGAAAAAGGACAUGUCAUGUAUUUCCUUAUUGUUGUUAUAAUUUAUACAUUGAUUGUUUAUGAACAUUUUCUUGGCUUUUGUUUGUAUUUUCAUCUAUUCAGAAAUAUUUAGGACUUCAUAGUGUGUGAUGGUAAACAUAGAACAGACAUAUAUAUAACUUUGAAUGCUUUGGUUUACAUGAAAGCUGAAUUUAUUAAAGGACCCAUCUCAAGCUAUACCUGUCUAACAAAGCUUUGGUAAGUGUGUUUAUUUAUAUACAUAAAUUAUAAAAAUGGUGUUACUUUAAAUAUCAGUAUUUCUUUAUUAAAACUCUUUAAACUGUGUGUUCAUUUUUACAGCUUUUUCUUAAUGAAUGGAACUGGGAAAUGUUUUGUUAUGUUUUUAGCAAAGCGAGCACAUAAAGUAUGUUCCAAAAUUUUUAACAAAACUUACUAAAUGCUUCAUUUCUUAUAUCACUGUGUCUAUAGACAGGUAACAUUUUUAUGGUUAGAAGUUUAAACUGUGUAUCUGAGAAUUUACUAAUUUUUUUUCCUCAUCUUCUGCUAAGAUAUUUCUCUUGCAGGGGAAUCUUUCAUUGAGAUGAUUGAAAUCGCUGCAGUGAGAAUGGAAAUUACUCAGGCUCCUUUCCUUUUAAAAGCUGCAUGCAAGAACUGUGUGAGGAAGAGGUGAGAAAUGUGCAUCUUGUAAAGACCAGUCUGCAAUCAACUUUUCGUGUUAGCAGCUCAAGCUGAGAAACCAAGAGUUUCCAUGUUGUUGAUUCAUGGUCUGUUCAUGCAGUCUUGUGAACUUCAAAAUAUUCUGAUUUGUGUCCUGUCUUGUCAGUGAUGCAUUGUGGAUAUAUAACUAUUAUAAUUAAACACUUGUUUGUCCCAUUUUUGGAAUGUGGUUUCAUGAGUAACACCUUCAAUAGUCUGCAAAAUCUUUUAUACACUAAAAGUAAUGAUCAUGUUUGAACUUUAGCACAUUUUACAAUAAAUUUACCUAUAAAGAUCUAUGCAGAAAGAAUGAACUAGUUAAAUUGUAACAAUUAAUUUCUUAUGUCCAUUGGCAAACAGCACAUCUUUAAAAAUGUAACGUGACUUACACCUGUGUAUUUAGGACUUCUACAGGCCAUUGUUCUUCAAAUUUCAAAAGCGUUUUUCUUGGUGCUGCAUAUGGCACACUUUACUGAGUGAGAGUGGGUCUGUACUUGAUAUUCAGAUAUAGUGAUCUGAAAAUGUUUCAGCUUUUCUCUUAAUCGUGGUAUCUCAUUAAGUAUUGGGGGAAAUCUCUCCUAAUUAGGUAGCAAUAUGAGCAAUAAUGAUUGGAAUUUGAAAUGUUUAGACUCUCUUUAUGUUCUUCAUCACCACAUCCUGUCAUAGAAGUCACAAGAAAUGAUUGAUAGAAAUAUAUCCAAAGUGGUGAUCUACUAUUUUACCACAAUUUAACUUGAAGCAGAGCAGCAAUUCUUCAUAUCAAAAUCAACAAACAGAAGUUUUAAAUGUAUGUGAAGGAAAACUUAUGUCUGACAUAUAUGUGAAUCUCCUUUCUAAGGUGGCAGUUGUGUGUAUCAGAAGAAAAUAUUUAACUAUAAACAGAAAUAUGAAAAAAUUAUGGCAAAAAUGCAAUGGCAUGAGUGACACUGUUCAUCUUUCUGUUAGGGGGCUAAUAACACGGGGCUAUUAAUUUUUCCACUUUAAACAGUUUAUUUCUGUUGGAAGUUAUGUAAUGGCUCUCAGGUGCAACAACUCAAUACUUCUUUCCAAAUUUGAUUCAGUUAUAAUAGCUCUGUGUUAAUGCAUCAAAUGAAUUUUAUCUAAUAUUGCUUCUGUCUUAAUGUAAAAUUUGAACCCUGUGUUCAAAAGUUCUGAAAUUAACUAAUUCAUGAUAGCAGCAUUUAUCCAGUUUGAAUUUUCAAUCUCAAGUAUACAGUCCUCAGUAGCUAGAGGCUGGCUGACUUAGCUUCUGUUGAGAGAUGGGAAUAAUAUAUAUCCAUAAUGUUUUCUUCUGCUGUUUAUAGUCAUAGGAAACAGCUGUAGAUAGAAAGCUUCACAUUUCCCUAUGGGUUUUUGCUGGGCAAGCAUGUGGCUUUAUUACCUAUAAAGGAACCUUCUGUCAGCAGCUUUUACACUUUUAAGUGGAUUUAAAAGUAAAACAUUUUUGAAUCUCUCAUAAAACACUCCAAAAAAACUUAAUAAUUAUAAAAUUUGAACUAUAUAAGGCAUAAAUUAUAGAAUAUAAAGUAUCAAAUGUAUACAUUGUUAGUAUUUUAUUGAAAUAAAGGAAAAGCUUCAGGGAUUAUAUGAUUUGGACCAGCUAGAAUAGUCCACAAUAAUAUAUGACUGUGGUUCUACAGUCCUGUGAUUCUCAAUCCAGACAAGUCUGAGACUGGCAGAGUCUUCCUGUUUCCUUCAGUAUUAGCCUGGCUCUGAUAUUUCCAUGGUGGUUUCACUGAAUGACUUUGGGAUAGUUUUUGGUAAGCUCCCACAGCUGGAUGUCCUUGCUGUGUGAGCAGCAGCAAGGAAAAGUUCCCUCCACUCUUGAGGAUGGCAGUCUGGUAUUAAAGUUCAUUUCUGUUGCUUAAACAAAUGUAAGGAAUAUUCAGGGCAUUCUUUCUUUCUUGAUAGUCCUACAGACAGACUUUGCCUAGCUGCUCUUUAAAUCAGUAUCAAAGGGGAUAACAUCUUUGUCUACCUCAUCUACAGAAGAUUGGUAUCUACAUACGAAACUAACACAAACAUGCUUGUAUAGAUACAGGUUCUUAGCAUAUGGAAACAGCUGUGCCACACCUUUCCUGUCAUCAAGACAAUGUGAGUCUCCCACUUUUCCAAUAAGCAAUAUCUGUUAUUUUCAGUGAUAUCAAUAAAUAUGUAAACUAUAUUAUCCAUCUAUGUGUAAUGGAAUGUCAGACAUAAAAAUAAGAAAUUUCUAGUAGUAUCAGACAAAGAUGAACAAGAACUUUAGUGUUUUGGAGGUAUGAAAUCUGUUAAAUGACCUCUGUGACAACCAGUUUUAGGAAGGGUGUGUGGAUGGUAGAUUAUACAGUCAGAAAAAGGAGAUUUUGCUGCAGAUUUGAUAACAUCGUGUAGCCAGACAGCCCCCUGUUGGUUGUAUUGUUGUGGAGGUUCCAGAAAUUUAUUGUGCUUGAAUUCAGCAAUUCAUUGCACUCAACAAGCUAUUUUUUUUAUUCCCAUAUGACAAAGAGAAAAUGGGGGGGAGGGGGGAAUUGUGUGCAUCUGUAAAAAUUACCUUUGAGUCAAGUUUUAUCCUUCUUGUGUAUAAGAUACAUGUCAAAGCUUGAUUAAAUAGAGUAUCUGCACUCAGUUUCUUAAUGUCUUUAUAGAAGCUUAUUUUUAAAGAGCAGUGAAAAUGUAGAACAGUACUUUGUCCUUGUGAUCAAAAUUUAAGACUAGCAUACUUUAAUGUCACAUUUACAGCCUGGCUAAUGCAAAGUAUUUAGAUAAACUUCUGCCAAUAAUGCAGGUAAUAGAUUUUAAAACAUAAAAGUUUGUAAGCUAACAGUGAACUAGCCAGACAUAGGCUCCAGCCUUAUUUAAUGACUGGGACUCUCCUGCAGGAGUGUCUGAGAGCUGCUGUUAUUUAACAAGGUACGGUUUCACCAGGAGGCUUGGGAGUUUUUUUAUUCAUGUUUGCUUUGCUUUAAUCUCUUCUUUUGUAUGUGGCUUAAGCUGCUACCAGUGCAACUAGCUGCUUACUUCCAGUUUGUGUUUUCCCAUGUGUAAAGACACCAAAAACCUCGUUCUUAAAAAGAAAUGGGUGUCUAAAAUACUGGAAAACUGAAGGAUGCAUAUUAGGUACUUUGACUUUUUUUUAAGUGUUUGUAAAGGGAACCUAAAAUCUGCCUCGUACUGGUCACUCUAUAUCCAUGUGGUGACGGAGUGCUGUAGGUACUGUAUUAAAGUAUGCAAGCACUUAUUUUCUAGAACCUGAUGAUGUAUCCAUGCUUAAAAGGCACUAUUUGUGGUGGAAGUAGCUGACCCAAGGAAAGUUUCCAGGAAGAACUCUUAUCUCAGAAGCACAGGAUCUUCUGCUCUGAGAUAAACAAUACAGAGGUGAUCGCUUUCUGCAUCAAGUAUGGCCUAGGUUAUAAAAGCUCAUCUUCAUUUGAAGAAUUUGAUUUGUGGCUAAAAAUCCAUAGCUGUAACAGUAGUAGGGGAAACUGAUGUGAGAAUUAGUUUUCUACUACAACACAGAACAGAAGACUAGCAUGAUGUUUAGAAAGCCAAAGUGCUAAGACCUCCUUCUCUUUCUCAUUUUCCCCUUUGGUACACGUUAAAAGAUCGAUUGUAAUCAGGUGUCUUAUAACAGUUGGCAAAAACAACAGAGGGUAAGAAUAUAUGCUGUGAUUGAGGGGGAAUGGGAAGGACAGGGGCAGACCAAAUUGCUGCUUAAAAAUUGUGACCUACUAAAUGACUACUAAAAUCCAUCAGAAGAGUUUGAGACUGGCUGAAGCAAUCAGAUGAGGGGACUCUCCCAAGAAACAGAAAACCUGAAUUUCAGGUCCUUCAGAAGUCCAAGGGGAUUCAAGGUCACAUCUCCUGUUUCCAAAAAAAGUGCCCAGGGGAAGCUGCCAACAGAUGCUCCCCAUAUUUCUUGUUAAAUCAAGGCUAUGUGCAAAAAAGAAUAGAAGUCACAAAACAGUUUUGUCCAAAGAUUGUUGGCAGUGAUAACUAUUACCGUUAGCAGAUGAAAGCAAGCUGCAGGUAGGAUUUCAAAGGGUAGUGGAAUUUGCUUUUAUUGGACUCACUGUGCAGUUCCUUGCAAGUUCCAUAUUCUUUUCCUAAGAUGUUUCCUGAAGUAACAGUAAAAUGAGCAUACAAUAAAUAUAAGUAUCCAUUAAAGCUCACUAAAGGAAUACCUUAUGUUUCCAGUAGAUGAACACUGAGAUAACUGAAUAUUUGUGAAUUGCAUCACAGACCUCUAUUAUGCCUGGGGUUUAUUGCUAAAGAGAGCACCAAUAAAGGGUGGCUUUAAACUGCUUUAUGCUCCUACAUCCUCUAAAGCUGCUGAAGAAGGAAAGCAGGGAGCAACUAGCAGCGUUAAAGAAAUUCAUGACUGUUCAACAACCAGCAAGGGGAUUCACAUCUUCCCGCCUUUACUGUCAAUUAUUUUCUUUUUUUUUUUAUGUUUGAAGAGGCUUUUUCCCUUGUCUUGAGUUGGCAUGUUUGUUUUUUGACAGGAAGGUUUACAAUCUCCCUCCCAAGUUAGCAUAGAUAAGAGCCUGUUCCGGAUGGAAGAUUCAAAUACUUACCCUCAUCAGAAAAAUUACAUUUUUCCUCCUCUGAAGAAAGGCACUGCGUGCAGCCAUUGGUACCCAUGCAUCUGAUAUUCUUGUAUGGGAGAACGUGCAGCAGCAUCUGUGGAAGCAAUAACUGUGUCUUUGUGCGCAAGCAGCGUCAAUCCUGCCAUCCUUUUGUUCUACCCAGUGGCUACCAACAGAGCUUUUCAUUAGCCAAUGAUAUACCAGCCUGAAGAAGCAGUGUGGUCUUUGUAGGAAGAGUCAUUGCUUCCAGUAGAAGAUCUGCAUGCUUGUCACCACUUGUUUCAGAAGAACAGAAAUCUGCAUCUUCAUAUCCUGAACGCUCCAGAUGUGAACUCUUACGAACUGUCAUUAGAUCCUCCACUUGUGGCUCUUUCUUGGUGCUGAGGCUAGACAAGAAGUCAGUAUAGAUCCCUCCACAGAAUAUGGAUGAUCAAACCCAUAGCAGACUCACGUUCCAUCAGCCUUGUACAACUUCAUGUGAUGUUCAGCUUUUCUAUUCAAUCCUAAAGCCUACCUCAGAAGUCCAGCGAGAGCAUGUGUCAGGCUUUCAAUAUCGAAGUGGAAGAGACUGCCACAGCACAGCUUAUAGGGGAAGCUAUAGCCAAUGGACACACAAGUGUCCCUGUGCCUGUUAGUGCUUUUCCAGCCAAGGUUCUACAGAGUAUCUCUGAAACGAAAGAUGAGUCUAGCAAAAAGAUGAUCUGCCCAUCAUUUUCCACAUGUAUCCCUAGAGAUUUUGGGACUGCAUAUGAACUCUGGAUUGCACUAUCACACUUCAGUUAUCAAAGAUAACUGUUACUGAGUAACAGCAGAAAACAUCGUUAGCCUAACCAAAGAUGGGAGAAGCAUCUCAGCUACAUCAGGAGCCAUGCAGUUACAAUUUUCAUUUACAAUCUUGACAUGGCCAUUUUAAUCAUUUAAACCAUUAACAUCCUCCAGGGAUCCACAGUUUACUGAGCCAUCUUCAGAAGAUAAUGUUUUGAACAGUCAUAGGUAGCAAAGGAAAAUUAUAUGGCAUAAGAAUCGCCUUUCGAAAUGGGGAAAACAUAACAUAAAUCAGUCUGGUCCAGAAGAAGAUACAUUUCCAGUUUAUGGAAAAUCAGGAACUUACUAAUAGUGUUAAUGCUCACCAUGUUGCAACUGGAAUUGAAAGAAAGGCCACCAGCAGGAUGUAUCCAGUAAUGAUUCAGGAGGCUUCUAACCCUGGCACUGCCAGAGCAGUGCUGAUAUUCUCAUCUUCAGAGUUUGUCUAUUUUGCCACCAAAAGCUUAGCUUCUGUUUCCAGAUGUGACGUAGCAACAUGAUUAACGCAUCUUAUGUCUGGAUCCUGCAACGUUUCACUUCAUAGUGCAGGUGCAGAAAUGACCUCCAAGAGAGAAAUUCUGUUCUUUGGGCAUGCAAAAUAUUCAUGUAAGGUGUUCUGCAGAUCUCCUUGCCUAACACAUUAGAAAAAAAUAAAAUGUUCCUAUAGCCUGAUGAAUGUCUAAGUCUCCCAUCUAAGCCAUUCUGUGCCUUUUCCCCAUUCCUUGAGCUGCUAUUGCCCACCCGUUCAUUCACCCCUAUACGAUCUUCUGCUUUUCCUUGUCUGGUGGUGUUGAAAUUUCUGACAGCUCUGUUAACUGUCCUCCCUUCAAUACAAUAAGUUGUGUCUCUGGUUCCACAAAGGCAGCAACUCUUUCCAGCUAAAUUUUCUCCCUUAACUCCCUCUCUGUAAUGGGAAAGAAGUGAGUUUGCCGCCUUGUGUGGAUCUCUGCCUGCCCUUAACAUGUAACCUUUUCCUCUGUUCCACCAGUGACCAGGCUGAGGAGCAAGCUGAAGACAUAGUAAAAAGAUGCAAAGAUUAAAGGAUAGAAGGAUCAGCAUGCCUUCUGUUUAUUGUUGAAUACAACAUUGUAAAUAAAAUGGUGUGUCAGCAAUUAUUUUAUUACUCAGUUUAGUUAUCACUGGGGAACAAAACCAAAACCCAUAGACCAGUCUUUUCAGAAGGCCCUCAAUAAAAGCUACAAACUGCCUUUGAAACUCAAAGAAAAUUGAGUUCCUGACUCCAAAGUACUAGUAAAACCUAGACUUGAUGUUUCCAAUCUAUUGCCUUUUUUUUUUUCCAAUGGAGAAUCAGGAUGGAACAAUGUUGUAACGUUUUAAUUCUUCACAGUUUCAGCAAGCACUCUGCUAGCUGGUGUAGCAGAAACUUGCUUAGAAAGCAAAGCCCUGAAUUCAUUCUCUACAGCAGAUUUGUACACAUUACUGUUUCCAACCUUCAGGGCUACAUUCAUCAUGCUUCUGACCAGAAAGAAGCCACCAAUUAUUGAACCAUUGCAUUAGAAUGGAAACAGAGCAGGACUGGAGGAAGAAUUCUUGGAAAAAUUUACACAUCAGAUUGCACUUAGAGAUAAAACUUCCAGGGUUUAUUUCAGCAGAAACUACAUGAUGGUCUAGAAAAACAACAUUCCCCCUUUUUUUAAAUAGAACUCAGAUUUAUUUGUAUUUUAUGCGAUGACUAGUAUUUACAUCUCACCCACCCAUUUGAGAAUAUUCAGGGCUCCAGGCGUAUCUCCAGCCAGUUCCAGACUAUUCAAAUCCUUGUUGGUCCAUCCAUUUACUAGUCACAACAAGGCCUUCUGUGACUAAUUAUGGCCUGACUGCAGCAGGAGAGGCAGCUUCAAAGAAUGGGAAUCUUCAGACCCACUAGCAGUUCCCUUGGUUCCCAAAUUCUUUAUUUAUGUGGAUUACAUUGAGUUGACAGAUUUAACUGGGCUGUUGAAGAUACGGUCAAAGAAGCAGAGUCACUCCCUUCCCUUUUAUUGUUUUCUGAAGACAUAAGAGUCAUACGCAUCUGUCACUACAGAGAGGAAGUUCCCCAUCACUGGACUUGAUUUGGGCUUUUAUAUGCUGUUUCAGUAGCAUCUGGGAAUAGAUCAAUAUAAUAUUUGGUAGGGAGUUCUAUUUCCUUGUGAUGCACUGUAAAUCUUUUAUUGUAGAUACUCCCACUGUUUAUUGUUGAAAAUCAAUAAAAAUAAACCUUGUAAAGUUAAAGCCUGGCGAUGGUUCAACACAAAUCAGAGGGAAGGAGUAAGAGGCAAAGAGUCUCCCUCCCCCUCUUGGAUAGCUCCCAGCUUGUUUCCCAAUGAAUAUUCAAUAACACUUUCCAGCAAUCUGGGAACAAAUUUAAAAACAAAAUAAAUAAAUUCCAAGUUAUGAACGCUUUGUUGUGAUCUCAAACAGAACUUCUGACCCACUUUGGCGGCUUUCUGGUGCUGAAUUCAGCUGUGUGUCACCCAGGUUUUGUGCUGGAUAUACCUUAGACUUGUCCCCUCCAGAGACACAUCAGCCUUGUUCAGCUCAGAUUAAAGGAGUUAUUUUUAAGAAUUGGAAAACUGGAAAUGAACCAAAAUAGGUAAAAAGUGGGAACAGCCCAAUGUGGAGAAAAGUUUCUCCAAAGUCAGAACAAAAGUUACUAUCCCUGUUUACAAGCCUGUAGAAGCAGGGCAGGAUGCAAUUACUCCAGCAUCAUUCUUUCACCCUGUGGCUAUUAAUUCCUCAUAUACAGCAUCUUAGGAUGGAGUCUUCUACUAUUUCCAUGAGAUCCAAUUAUGCAGGGAAGUGAAAAAUUGUUAGGAAUUAUUUAGUAAAGGGGAAAACUUCCCAGUACUACGGCCAGCACUGACAGAUCAGUCUUUUUUGGUCUAAACAUAGUAUCAAUUGCAAUAGCUUUAUUUAAACACCUGUUCUGGAUCAAUUAUACAAUCUUGUGAGCACUGACUGCAGAACCUGUAAGAACGCAAUGACUGUACUUCCUAAAAGAACAAAAACCCUCAUGAAUUGUCAUAUUGAAAUCAAUACCCCAAGAACAUGAAGGUGUUUCACAUCAGACUCUCUUCUUCCUCGUAUCAGCAGGUUACUGAACAAUUCACCUGUUAAAUAAAUGACAUGUCCCCAGAAGAGAUAAGGAUGUAAGAGAACUUCCCAGUGUGUGAAGAAGCAGACAAAAAAUUACUUAAAAGCACAAAAAUGUAAUCAAUCACUACGAAAGGAAGUCAACACAGUGCAAGAACAGGGGAAUGGAAAAAGGGGUGUCUCUAUCCUGUUGGCAUAUCCAACAAGCACCACAAGCCUGUAUUGAUAAAGCCCUUCAUAGUCUUGAAUAUAGCAAUACAGGAUGAAAUCCAACUAUAAAGGAGGGAAAAGUGACUAAAAUAAGAAAGAACAGCACUGAAGAGCAGCUUAAUGCCUUUGGAGUGGGAGGAGAGGACAGAGGAGUAUUCUGCAAGAGACAGUAACACGUUAUUUCAUGGUCACUACUGGUGGCUUCACAAAGCCGCUUUCUCACGUCUGGAGCCACACAGCAAUACAACCUGGGAUGUUUCUGUUACGUUGCUUUCAGCUAAUGGCAGGAGAAUCAGUCUACGCGUAUCUUUUGAAAGUAGAGGCAGUAUUUGAUCAUUGAGGUUUGCACUCCUCCUCCAGCCACUUCUCCAAACUGUUGGGAUGACAGUUGUGUCAAGCUGUAUUGUCAUGUACUUAAAAUCUCCUUACAGAUUAGCACAGAACAUAAAAAUUAUUUGGUAGGAGGAACGGCUGAUCUUUUUGCGAGUCCUAAUUUUAGCCACAGAGAAAAACAAACCCCUUGAAAACGCUGGAAUCUGGUCCACAAAACCCGUAUUGAAUCUGUGGCUCUUUUAUUUAGAGUUGAAGAGGGUGGAGCAGUAAAAGGCAGGAAAGCAAUUUUUUUCCCGAAUACUUGGGAGAAAAAAAAGAAAUUGUUUGUUUGUUACUUCCCUCAAUAGUUGCAGUUUCAAACAACCCAACAAAAAAGGCCACUAGUGCUGACACAGCCCUCUUCCACCUUCAAAAAAUGAAAGGAAAAGCCUUUAUUUCCCUUUCUGCACUUGGUUUCUCUUUGCCUGUGCUGCCCCGGAGCUCCCUGGGGUUUGGUUCACCAUGACGGUAAGGCUUGCUGGCCUCUUCAUCCUUUCAAAACCGUAGCAUUCGACUUUUUCUUCACUGGAGACUGUCCUGGUGCUUAUGAGGCGAAAUCCAUCUUUGAGUAAAGUGUCAAGCAGCAGGCCUAGCACAUUAGUACCGUUAAUCAGCUUUCUAUUAUCGGGCUUUAUGGAAACAUACCUAAAAUAAGAAAAAGGCAAUUACAACACACUUUAAUUACUUAUUGAAGGAUGGAAACAAUUUUUUUUAAAAACAAACCAGGUCCUCGGACGGUGCCAGUCAGCAGAAUUGCAAGGGUUUACAGAAAGCAAGGUUCUGGAUUUUUUUUUAUCCUUUGAGGACAAUUUAACUCUUUCCCUUGUUGUAAGAACAGUAGUUCUCAGUUCAUCCAGGUACAUGUUGGGGAAGAAGCAUUUCUUUCACCCCCACACCAAAACUUACUUUCUUAAGAAAUGCUGUGAUAACCUACAUCUCAUUUCAUUUCAUGGAGCAGAGGUGAAUGGCACACUCUAUUGUCCUGGUUUCAGGUGGGACAGUUAAUUUUCUUUCUAGUAGCCAGUAUAGUGCUGUGGUUUGGAUUUAGGAUGAGAAUAAUGUUGAUAACACACUGGUGUUUUAGUUGUUGCUGGGUAGUUGUAGUGUCUACACCCAGUCAAGGACUUUCCAACUCCCCAGGCCCUGCCAGGUGCACAGGGAGCUGGGAGAGCACAGCCAGGACAGCUGACCCAGCCUGGCCAAAGGGACAUUCCCCACCACAGAGCAUCAUGCUCCGGAUAGAACUGGGGAAGCGAGCCGGGGUUGCUGCUUGGAAACAGAUGGCAUCAGGGGUUUUUAUUUUCCUUUCACAUGCAGUGAGCAGUUGCAUUUGUGCAUCACUUAUAUUAUUGUUAUUAUUGUUGUAUUAUUAUCAUCAUCUUCCUUUGUUAUCCUAUUAAACUGUCUUUAUCUCAA